rnacentral:rRNA from 1 species
CCUACGGGUGGCAGCAGUGAGGAAUAUUGGUCAAUGACCGGGAGGCUGAACCAGCCAAGUCGCGUGAAGGAAGACGGUCCUACGCGUUGUAAACCUCUUUUGUCGGGGAGCAAAGCGAACCACGUGUGGUUCAUCGAGAGUACCCGAAGAAAAAGCAUCGGCUAACUCCGUGCCAGCAGCCGCGGUAAUACGGAGGAUGCGAGCGUUAUCCGGAUUUAUUGGGUUUAAAGGGUGCGCAGGCGGAGGGUCAAGUCAGCGGUAAAAGUGCGGGGCUCAACCCCGUCGUGCCGUUGAAACUGGCUGCCUUGAGAUGGCGAGAGGUAUGCGGAAUGCGUGGUGUAGCGGUGAAAUGCAUAGAGAUCACGCAGAACUCCGAUUGCGAAGGCAGCAUACCGGCGCGCAACUGACGCUCAUGCACGAAAGCGUGGGUAUCGAACAGGAUUAGAUACCCGAGUAGUC